UAUCUCUCUCAUAGAAUCACUUUUCUCAGAAGGGCUUUAUCCCAAAAUAGCUUUGUCAAAAUUGCUUAAUCAAAAUCUCUUCAUGACAUCUCCUCAUCAGUUUCAUUUCAAUCACUCUCACAUCUUCAUCACAAUCGCUCCUCUUCGCAAUCCCUUCAUCGAAAUUGUUCUGGUCAACUUCUUCAUCGCAAUCUCAUUCUGUUCCAAUCGCUGAGUAAAAAUUUGGAUUUUUUGGGUUAAUUCUUCUGAUUUGAUGAGGUUAAGUUGAUUCUAAUUUUUGAUGUAAUUGAGAUUUUAUCGAAUUCGGUAACCACCGCCAUCAGAGCAUAAAAAAUGCAGCGGCAUUGAACUUCCAAUUGCAGUUGAAGCUUGUUCAUUAUUCUUUAGCAAGAUCUGCCAAUGACCUUAAGUGUGAUUGAUGGCUUGCACCAAGAUGGGAACAGUGGCAUCUGAGUCUUGGUGUCGCUAAGCCAGUGAAAUGAGAUACUGCAUUCUUUGUGAAUCAAUGCUUGUCUGAGUCCUUUCUGUCAGGGACUUGUUUUGUAGCCUAGAGUUUUUUGCAGGAUUCAGAAAAAGAGGUACAAGUCAUCUAUUUGGUGAAAGUAUAUGUGAUUUUGGCAUGUCCUGUGUUGGGAAGAUAUAUCAAAAGAUGUUUCCCUAUUCCUACCAUCAAAGUUACUUGGUGGGGAGCUCUGUUCUUGGAGGUCUGACUUGACAGUUCCAUUUUCUAGAUUUGCAGAUAUGGAUGGUCUGACAUCUUUAAAAAGGUACCUAAUAGCUAAAGCCUACAGAAGAGAAAAUCCAUCUAAAGGAAGAUACCCUGAAUUUUAUCAAUGUGGCUUUGAUAUUGCUGGUUCAUCUAAAAAAAUGGCUCCAGAUUUUGAGGUUGUUAGAAUUUUGACUUAAUUAGUUGAUGAGCUGAACAUUGGGGAUUUGGAGGUAAACUUUUAUAACAUUCCUGCUACAAAAAUUAUUGGUUUUCUGAAUUUGUAGAACCAUUUAGACUGUUUCCCGAGUUCAUGAUUUGAUAUAUCUAUAUCUGUAAUUUUUCAUAGUCUGUCUAUACUUAUUUUGUGAGCAUUAAUUAACAUAGCACAAUAUCAGAAUAUGUAUUCUUCCCUGGAACCACUGAUCGGAUUAUCAUAGUAACAAUUUUUAAGUGUUGCAAGUUUUACUCUCAAAUGUUACUGAAAUCAUUUAGUAACACGGCUUUACCUAA